rnacentral:rRNA from 1 species
GUACACGCUGUGACUAGCAUAUCAAUAAGCGGAGGAAAAGAAACUAACAAGGAUUCCCUUAGUAACGGCGAGUGAAGCGGGAAGAGCUCAAAUUUGAAAUCUUCAAGGUUUUACCUUGACGAAUUGUAGUUUAAAGAAGUGUUUUCUGCUGAAGUUUUGGUAAAAGUUCUUUGGAAUAGGACAUCAUAGAGGGUGAGAAUCCCGUAUUUGACCAUUAUUUUCAGCUUUGUGAUACACUUUCAAAGAGUCGGAUUGUUUGGGAAUGCAGUCCAAAAUGGGUGGUAAAUUUCAUCUAAAGCUAAAUAUUGGCGAGAGACCGAUAGCGAACAAGUACCGUGAGGGAAAGAUGAAAAGAACUUUGAAAAGAGAGUUAAACAGUACGUGAAAUUGUCAAAAGGGAAGCGUUUGACACCAGUGUUGUUUUCUCGAAAAUCAAUUAAAAAUGGCUCGAUUUUGUAUUGCUUGAGACCUUAAAAGCUCACUGUACAUUUUUCGUGUCUUUUUUAAUGCACUUUUCGUUUAACAAGUCAACAUCAGUUUCUUUUGUUGUAAGAGGGUCAUUGGAAGGUGGCUUUCUUUUCGGAGAAAGUGUUUAUAGCCUUUGGCCUCUGCAAUCGGAGAGACUGAGGUCUGCAGCGUAGACUCUUCGGGGCUAGAUACAUUUGUGCUAAGUUAUAGCUUUUUAUAGACAACUUGUUGACUAUAAUUAGUCUUGUAGCUUACUCGCUUAUGCUAUUUUACCUACGCUUAGGAUAGUUGAGUAGCGACAUACGCAC